CUAAACCUUGUUGAAUAGUCUUCAACUUAUUACAUGCCAAAUUGGCCAUAACUAAACCUUGUUGAAUAGUCUUCAACUUAUUACAUGCCAAAUUGGCCAUAACACUAAACAUUGUUGAAUAAUCUUCAACCUAUUACAUGAGAAAUUAAUCAAAAUCUUAAAGAAACGUGUCAUUCUGAUAUCAAAGAUAUCCAAUAUACGGUUGAAAUGUUGAAUUAUGAUCAACGCCCCUUGCUAGCUGAUCUUUCUUCCAGUAUUCGAAGGCCAACAUACCUGCCCAAAGAACAAAAUUUGGAGUGGGAAAACAACAACAAUAUAUUCUUAUUAUUCACGUCCAAACUAAGGAUUUAGUUACUAUGAUUUAGUUAAAUAUUGAAAACUAAAGUAGUUGUAUUAUGUACAGGUAAUGUCCAUGUGGUUUUAUUUGAAUGCACUUAACAUGCAUACCUGCCUAACAUCAUAAGAGUGGC
rnacentral:lncRNA from 1 species